GGAAGUAAAAGUCGUAACAUGGUCUCCGUUGGUGAACCAGCGGAGGGAUCAUUACAGGACUCGCAAGACUCCUACAACCCUGUGAACUUAACUAUAAGCACGUUGCUUCGGCGGGUGUCUCGGAGGGGGUUCUCCCUCCCCGAGACGCUAAACCCGCCGGCAGCCUACUAUACUCUGUCUCUUUGCGUUGGCAUCUCGAGUACAAUCAAACAAGUUAAAACUUUCAACAACGGAUCUCUUGGUUCUG
rnacentral:misc_RNA from 1 species